rnacentral:rRNA from 1 species
AGAGUUUGAUCAUGGCUCAGGAUGAACGCUAGCGGCAGGCUUAACACAUGCAAGUCGAACGGUAACAGAAGAGCUUGCUCUUGCUGACGAGUGGCGAACGGGUGCGUAACGCGUAUACAACUUACCUCUAAUUAAGGAAUAGCUCAGAGAAAUUUGAAUUAAUACCUUAUAAUAUCUAAAUAUCGCAUGAUAUUAAGAUUAAAGUUUUUCGAUUAGAGGUGGGUAUGCGUGAUAUUAGCUAGUUGGUGAGGUAAUGGCUUACCAAGGCAACGAUAUCUAGGGGGUCUGAGAGGAUGAUCCCCCACACUGGUACUGAGACACGGACCAGACUCCUACGGGAGGCAGCAGUGAGGAAUAUUGGACAAUGGGCGAAAGCCUGAUCCAGCCAUGCCGCGUGCAGGAUGAAUGCCCUAUGGGUUGUAAACUGCUUUUAUAUAGGAAGAAACCUCUUUAUUCAUAAAGAGCUGACGGUACUAUAAGGAUAAGCAUCGGCUAACUCCGUGCCAGCAGCCGCGGUAAUACGGAGGAUGCAAGCGUUAUCCGGAUUUAUUGGGUUUAAAGGGUUCGUAGGCGGAAAAAUAAGUCAGUGGUGAAAGCCUGCAGCUUAACUGUAGAAUUGCCAUUGAUACUGUUUUUCUUGAAUAUAUAUGAAGUAGGCGGAAUGCGUCAUGUAGCGGUGAAAUGCACAGAUAUGACGCAGAACACCGAUAGCGAAGGCAGCUUACUAAUGUAUUAUUGACGCUGAGGAACGAAAGCAUGGGGGAGCGAACAGGAUUAGAUACCCUGGUAGUCCAUGCCGUAAACUAUGAUUACUCGAUAUUAGCUAUGCUAGUGUCUAAGCGAAAGUGAUAAGUAAUCCACCUGGGGAGUACGAUCGCAAGAUUGAAACUCAAAGGAAUUGACGGGGGCCCGCACAAGCGG